UUACUAAUAGCUAUAUCUCUUUGCCUGACAAUUUGUUGUAGAACUACAACAAGGGCAAACACGUGCGUUUUACAGGAAACCACACCUUCUUGGCAGAAAUUGGUAUUGAAUAAUAUUAGUGGUAAAAUAGAAACCAUAGGAAAGAAUAGAAAAGUGAAAGAAUGCUUUGUCGGCACUUUGAUAUAAUUGCUAUUCAACACUU
rnacentral:lncRNA from 1 species